rnacentral:lncRNA from 1 species
UUAUAAUGUGCGUCUAUUUUGAUUAAUUAACGCUCUACAUCUUUUUCUAUUUUUUGGAAUUUAAUGAAAAAAAAUGAAGAAACAAAGACUGAUUGAUUGCUUGCUUGCUUUCUUAUUUGCCUUUUGUUGAGGUACCUUUUCCUCCUCUCCUUCGUUUUUUCACUUUAUCCAUAUUCCUUCGCUUGCUGAUUCCAUGCACUCAAGAAGUAAUACGAGUAUGCAAGGUAGUAAGAUAAUCAUCUUGCUUAAAAAAGAAGAAGCUUUGAAAGAAAAGGAUAGAAUACCUACAAACUUAGUUGAAUUAAAUUUAAAUGAGUCUUUGUGCUCUGUUUUGCAAGAAAAGGAUUUGUUAGCAGAGGUUGACAAUAAAUGAACAAGAGUUGCAUGAAGAAUCUGUUGAGAACAUACCAUAUCGGAAGACCCUCAAUUGGGUCUUCAUCCAAAACAAAGGUGGUUUCAGAAAAACCACUUGCAAUUCCAUUUUCUCGGGUCAGAUGCUUUAUCUUGAUCAUCGGCAUUUCAUCAAGACCGCAACUGUAUUCUUUUAGUUCUUAAUCAUGUAGCUUAAUAUCUUUAAUUUCUGGGUUUGCGCUUUUUUUUUUAGUCAAUUUGCAUGUUUUGUAAUGCAAGUAGCACUUUUAUGGAUGAUUUUCUGAGAUUUUGAGCAAUUUUAAGAAAUCUAUAAAUUAUAACCUUUUUCCAUUAAA